rnacentral:rRNA from 1 species
GAUGAACGCUGGCGGCGUGCCUAAUACAUGCAAGUCGAGCGAAUGGACUAAGAGCUUGCUCUUAUGAAGUUAGCGGCGGACGGGUGAGUAACACGUGGGUAACCUGCCCAUAAGACUGGGAUAACUCCGGGAAACCGGGGCUAAUACCGGAUAACAUUUUGAACCGCAUGGUUCGAAAUUGAAAGACGGCUUCGGCUGUCACUUAUGGAUGGACCCGCGUCGCAUUAGCUAGUUGGUGAGGUAACGGCUCACCAAGGCAACGAUGCGUAGCCGACCUGAGAGGGUGCUCGGCCACACUGGGACUGAAACACGGCCCAGACUCCUACGGGAGGCAGCAGUAGGGAAUCUUCCGCAAUGGACGAAAGUCUGACGGAGCAACGCCGCGUGAGUGAUGAAGGCUUUCGGGUCGUAAAACUCUGUUGUUAGGGAAGAACAAGUGCUAGUUGAAUAAGCUGGCACCUUGACGGUACCUAACCAGAAAGCCACGGCUAACUACGUGCCAGCCGCCGCCGUAA